ensembl:lncRNA CASC15 cancer susceptibility 15
GGGAGAAACCUGCCGCCGCUCGCCGCCUCUUUGUCUGCUCCGGGACUUGGAACAAAAGGGGGAACUCUGAUGAACUCUCUUUCCUCCCCUCUCCCCCGGACGCCGGGGUAUCUCCCUCUCGCAACUUUGCCGCCCCGACUUUCUCUGCUGUCAGGCCGGGAAAAAGUGUCCGAACGCCUCGUGGACUGCAGCGGGGGAAAUGUCCCUUAAAAGUGCGACGAAGUGGGGAAGAAGGUGUAAUUACUAUUAUCAGCAUCUAGAAAGCAUCAUGAAUUUGCUGGAGUACUUCCUAGCACUGACCUCCUUCAUUCUGCGUUGUUCUUACUGGAUCUUUCCAUCAGCCAACAAUAUGGAAGUACCAAUACAAGGUCAAAUCAUUCCUGGAUUCAUCUGGAGUUGCUUAAAAGUUAAAUCAUUGGAAUUUUUGAUGAUACCUUUUCUAUAUGGAUUACAAUUUGAUCGCUGGGAAUUCUCCACCUUAAAGAAGACUCUUUUGCUAUCUGGAAACCCAUGUCCACCUCUGACUUCCACUCAAAAUUGCUUUCCUCACAGUCUGACUGCGAGAGUUGUGAAAAAUUGGGAUGUGCUUCUGAGGUGGGCUGUGGAAUGCCAUUAUUGACAGGGUUUCACUAUGUUUGUCAGGCUAGUCGUGAACUCCUGACCUUGUGAUCCGCCAGGCCUCCCAAAGUGCUGGGAUUACAGACAUGAGCCACCACACCCGGCCAAAAUGGGGAAGGCAGUUACCAACCCCUGUGGACAGGAAUCGCUUUUGAAGGUAGGGCUGAGGUGAUCAUCAACCAAGUUGUAAAGAUCAAAACUGACCAGCCUGCCGGAGACUACCUAACCCUGUUCCUGUUUCUGCCGUAUCAAGUGAGGACUUUCUGUUCCCUCUGGCGAUGCUACUCUGUGUGACUCAUGAUUCCACGUAGGCUUGAAGGAAUGGUCUUUAUUCAGUGCCUGUUAGGUGUGAAGCAAGGUAUUAGAAAUUGUAUAUACAUUAUCACAUUGAUGUAUCACAAUCAUCUGCUGGAGGUGGUAUUAUCCCUAAUUUUUAGACAAAAAAAGUGAGAUUCUGAGAGGGAAAGUGUAGUCUCCAAGCUCACACGUGUAGCAGUUCAGAGAAUUCAAACCCAGAUCUCUGUUUUUGAACUCCUUGACCUUGUCUUUAUAAUGUCAUUGCCUCAAAUUUUGUAUCCACCCAAGCUAAAUGGAAGGAAGAAUUUAGUACCUUAGACUUGGUAUAUUGUUUUUCAGGGGAAAUAAGUAUAAGAAAUAGGAUUUCGUUUGGCAUGGAGUAUUUCAUUCAUAUAUGAGAUUUUUAGUGGGAACCCACUUGGUGCUAGACGUUGUUUGUAGGCAUUGGUGAGCCAUAUCUCUGUGCAAGACAGGCGUAGUCCUUGCUCUCAGGGAAUAAUAAAUUAUGCCAUAGCUGUGUAAACCCA